UAAUUAGAAACAGAGCAUUCAUAUAAGCAAGAUGGCGCGCGGAUUCUACAUUAUCAUUUUCGCAUUUAUUCCUGCUAUAUUAACUAAAGAUUUUAAAAUGGACGACAAACUAGCAUCCGAUCUAACAAAACUACUACAACACUUGCCUGAUUGAAACUGAUACCAUAAAUGAUAUGUUCACAAUAGGAGAUCUAAUACAUGAUAGGCAUAAACAAUCUGAAAAUCAAGAAAAACUAAGAAAAAAUAGUUGUGUUGUCUAUUGCAUAUUACAAAAAGAGAAUGUGUAAAAGAUAUUGGAGAUAAAUGCAAAAAAAGUUUUGCUCUAACGAUGUGUUUCUUCAAAGAACGAAAGACUUCUUUCUUAAGGAAAACAUGGAAAUCAUAAGGGACAUGAACACCAUCAUGAACAUGAACAUCAAUAAAUACAAUUAACAAUAAUUCGGAAUCUUCUAGAAUUAUUUUUUUAUUUUUUAUAUAAAACAAAAUUUUUUAAUUAAUAAAAUAUAUUUAUGUAAUAUUCAUGCGUAUGUAGGAGAAGUCCCGUUUUAUUAUUACCUUUCCGAUUGCCAAUUGCUUCGUUUGCGCACAAGAUUUUGCCAACAGCUUCUUUUGUCAACAUUUCUGAUUGCCUACAUCCCGAUUGCAUGCAUAUAUUAUUGCACACACAAAUAAAAAUAAAAAUACGAAAGUACGAUUACACACAUGACAUUAUUUCAUGUAAAAAAUAAAAAUAUAAUUAAAUGCUUUGGGUAAGAUUUUCGUAUGCGACUCAUCUCCAAAUUUGAUCAAUUUUUACGGACAUACAGUACUAAAUAAAGUCAAAGGCUAAUAGGCAGAAACGUUUUGUUCUUAAGAUAUUCAAAUUUUUAUUAUUUUUAUACUUUUUUAUGUUAUUUAUAUUAUGUUGAAUUUUUCGAUUGUAAGCGCAAAGUCGGUUCUUUGGAGAACUUAGUGGGUCAUUGAACAUAAUGCGGCCUGAAAUGAAAUCUAUAAUUGUUCUGUUUCACAUGAGUUAUUGACUUUCACGCGAAGCGAGAUUCAUUUCUAUUUCUUAAGUAUAGUCCUAAGUCCAAAAUAUUUUUGAAUUCUAAUAUUUCUUUUUAUAUGGAAAUCUUAAAUAUUAUUUAUUUAAGAAGAUAAUUAAAAUUAAAAUAUCAAAAAUAAACGUUUCUGCACAUUCGCUCUUAUAACAUUCGACUUUAUUUAGUACUAUAUGCUUGUAAAAGUUCAUCGAAUUCGAAAAUGGGACGCAUACGGAAAUCUUAUCAUCAAAUUGAUUAAAGAUUUUAAGAUGGGAUUGUGUAAGCAAUCCAGUAUCAGUCUGCACUUUUAAUCGUGGAUUCUAAUUAUGCAAAGUCAUUUUCUUAUUAUAUGUGUGCAAUAAUGUUAUGUGUGCAAUGUGCAUGUGAGCAAUGUCAUGUAUGUAAUGUGUAUGUGUGUAAUAAUGUUAUGUGUGCAAUAUGUGCGCAAUAAUGUCAUGUGUACAAUCGUACUUUCGUUUCUUUAUUUUUUCCUGUGUGCAAUAAUACAUGUAGGCAAUGGGGGUGUAGGCAAUCGGGAAUGUUGACAAAAAAGCUGCAAAAUGUUGUGCGAAAACGAAGCAGUUGGUAAAAUCGGCAAUGUAGGCAUCUGAAGCCCUCCUCAAUAAAAUAGCAACAAAUAUAAAAACAAUAUUACUUUUUCUAAUAUUUUAAAUUUCAUAAAUAAAUGAAUAACAAUAAAAAUAUUUAAAAAUCAGUUUUUAUAUGAAGUUGUUUAAAAUUAACAACAAUUUCAUGAAUAAAAUUCUAAUACUUUUGAUGAUUUA
rnacentral:lncRNA from 1 species